rnacentral:lncRNA from 1 species
UUGGCAAGGUAUGAUCACUUGCAAUUGUUUCAGAAACUGAAGAAAGACCUCAUUCACUCCAUAACGGUUAUUUACCUGUUAAACUAAACCUAAUCUAUGAAAGAAAGAGAAAACAAAUUAUGAAUCAAUGCAUUGCAGCAUGAAAUUAGUGCAUCCAGAAAACAGAAUGGAAUCCAAUCAUAACAAGAUGAUAAACUGAAAAAAGAAUGCAAAAGAAAAAAAAAAAAAAAAAAAAAGAAGAAUGAACAAACUAACCACAUCAAGCUUUUCUGACAACUCAUAAUCAUAUGUAGAUUCAAGAUGGAACUCCUGAGUGGAACAGGAUUGCCAAUGAGGCUGCAAGAACAAUACCUGGACGCGAAAAUGGAGGAAGUUGUGACAUCAAAAAUCUCAGCAGAGGUUCAAAAAUAUACCUUCCAGUAUUUGUAGAAGGAGCAAACCUCAGUACUGGUGAUAUGCAUUUUUCUCAGGGCGACGGUGAAGUAGCAUUUUGUGGGGCAAUAGAGAUGAGUGGCUUCCUAGAGCUCAAGUAUGUUCC